UCCUGUUAUUAAAUUCCAGCAUGUCUGAUAUGUUUUUGGCAGGUCCUGGACCCAUUUUACGGGGGGGUAAAUAUCCGUAAUUUAGGGGAGGUUCUGUCAAAUUUUCGGCAGAAUCCUCGAGUCCAAUUUAAUUCUAGGCAGUCGACCUUAGGGUCUAAGUUUAGGAAAAAUUUUCGAAUGUCUAUUAAUUGUAUGUCUUUUGUUAUUAGAUAAUUCAGCCUUCCCGCCAGCUCCACCCGAGGCGUAGGAGCGGACUGUGGAACGCAUCAAAUCUGUGACAGUUAAAGACUUUCGCCUUCGCACAUUCGACAGUCCGACUUCUUCUUUUUCGGACUUUUGUAAUUAUCUUGUACUUGUAUACUUGUCAUUUUUACUCUAGAGUAUCCGCAGUAGGAAAUUUUAAAAUUUGUAUAACUAUUCUGACUCUUGUUGGUAGUUUGAUGAUGUAUUAUGCAAGACAAUUAUGACUAUUUUAUAUUUGGUUAAUUGUA